AGAUGUGUUCGUAGAAUAGCGAGCAGGAUAAUCAAAAGAAAUAUUCAAUAAGA
rnacentral:sRNA from 1 species